rnacentral:lncRNA from 1 species
AACAACAGGGGGAAGAUGGCUCAGAGUUAGGCUGGAGAGGGGCGGUGUCCCUUCCGCCGCAGCCGCGGGGUUUCUGCUACAUCCCAUUCGCCACCUCCGCCAUCCUUUUUUCUGUGUGAGCAGAAGGGCUUGCAGUUGUUCUCUCCUGCCUAGUGUCUUCCAAGGGAUAGAUGCCAUUUCUUCUGCUGGUCUCUGGGGUCUGGAAUUUUGCCGCUUCUUGGUUGACAGAAUCCAAGGGUAUAUUGUCACAGAGAAGACUCCAGCCUGAUGUCUAUGGGACCUGAGUCCACACUGUGGAGGGCACAAGCUGUGGGAGGGCCUGGAAGACACGCCUCAGAGAUUCUCCCAGUCCUGCCACCCUGUGGGAGACACUUCAAAGGAAUCGUAAACUCAUGUGACCAGCAGGGAGGACAACGAUGAAGAAACUUUCCUGCCUAAAAUCAGCUGCUGUCCAGAGCUAGCACCUGGAAGGAGACACUCCCUCUCCUGGGGUCACAUCUUCACUGCAAGGCGGGUGGGAGCUCACUGCUGUGACCCACAUAUACUCCUCUCUCGGCGUCUCUAUCCUGCUGCUUUCUCUGACUGCAUCUUCCUCUGUUCCUUGGUCAGUGUUUGAGAAGAGAAUGUUGAACAAGUCACAUCCUUGUCACUCUGAGUCAGAACCCUCAUUUGACUUGGAAGAUUUGUGCUUCCGUUUUUUCUUCUUUUUCUUUUCUUUCUUCCUUUUCUUAUGCUUUUCUUUCUUCUUCUUUUUCUUGUGUUUCUCUUUACCUUCAGAGGAACUGGAGCUGCUCCUAUCUUCAUCUGAGGUAGAAUCCUCCAGUAACUGUUUUAACUGCUGUAUCCUAAACAUUCAAAAUUGAUCAAAGAACAGUGAGUUUUAGCUUUAACUUACAACAGUUGCUUAGAUAAAUAUGUCAUUCAAAAGCAGUAUAGGAUGAUGAAUAACCAUGUCACAAAGACAGUAUUUUUAUUUUUACCUGUUUUCUCAUUCUUCUCCACCUGAAUGCCUACUUUACGUGACUGAAACCAGUGUACAAGCCACUUUGUAUUCUUUUUAUUGUCCUAGACAUUUCUGCAUGUUUCCACAGUCCUUACAAUUGUAAUUUCUAACAGACGCAUACUUUACUAAACCAUUCCCCUACUGCUCAAUUUCUUAAUCUACAUCUUUAACAGUUAUAAUGCCACCAAUUUGAAAAAACAAACCCUCCAAUUUUUUCCACCUCUCUCUAAUCAUGUCUAAUUUUUUUCUUUUUUUUUUAGAGACAGGGUCUUCCUCUGUCACCUAGGCUGGAGUGCAGUGGUGCAAUCAUGGCUUACUGCAGCCUCAACCUACUGGGGUCAAGUAGAUCCUCCCACCUCAUCCUCCCGAGUGGCUGGAACUACAGGUGCGUGCUGCCAUACUUGGCUACUUUUUAUAUUUUUUUGUAAAGAUGGGGUUUUGCUGUAUGGCCCAGGCUGGUCUCAAACGCCUGGACUUCAGCGAUCCGCUGGCCUCGGCCUCCCAAAGUGUUAGGAUUACAGGUGUGAGCCACUGAGCCUGGCCUAAGUAUAAUUUUUAACAAAAGCUCACAUCCCUAAAGACUCUGGAGAAGAUAAACUGAAUCACAUGAAAAUAUCAAUUAUACUGUACAAGUAGACAGCACAACAUGGGUUGCCAACAUCAACUGCAGUGGCCAGAGAGCUGGACCAAGCCCAUGGCUUUAAGUUAACCCAAGGAGGAGGAGGCUGGCCUGCUCAUUCCCCAACACUGGCCUUUUCAGCCAUGACUCCUGCACUCCACAUAUUUUCACAAUUGAAGUACCAUGUUUACUGCACCAUUCCUCUAACACUAGAGUGGUUUUCUCCAACUUUAUAUAAUUUUAAAACUUUAAGGGGAUAUUGUUAUCAUCAGGACGACCUCACCUUACGUCCUUUUCAUGUCGUUUAUUGUCUCGUAUGAUGUCAUACAUGGGAUCUUCAUGUGCCUUAAGGGUCAGAGAAGGUUAAGGUUUGGUUAGGCUUCAUGGAUCACAAGUUAAAUACAAUGAAAUGCCUAUGUUAUGAAAAC